AUCUUCUUUGAAGGUAUGCUUAAGGAGGGGCUUGCGACACAUUAGUUAGUUGGCAGGGUAAAGGCCUACCAAGACUAUGAUGUGUAGCUGGACUGAGAGGUUGAACAGCCACAUUGGGACUGAGACACGGCCCAAACUCCUACGGGAGGCAGCAGUAGGGAAUUUUCGGCAAUGGAGGAAACUCUGACCGAGCAACGCCGCGUGAACGAUGAAGUACCUCGGUAUGUAAAGUUCUUUUAUUAAGGAAGAAAAAAGAGUGGAAAAACUCCCUUGACGGUACUUAAUGAAUAAGCCCCGGCUAAUUAUGUGCCAGCAGCCGCGGUAAUACAUAAGGGGCGAGCGUUAUCCGGAAUUAUUGGGCGUAAAGGGUGCGUAGGCGGUUUAAUAAGUCUAUAGUUUAAUUUCAGUGCUUAACGCUGUUGUGCUAUAGAAACUGUUUUACUAGAGUGAGAUAGAGGCAAGCGGAAUUCCAUGUGUAGCGGUAAAAUGCGUAAAUAUAUGGAGGAACACCAGAGGCGUAGGCGGCUUGCUGGGUCUUUACUGACGCUGAGGCACGAAAGCGUGGGGAGCAAACAGGAUUAGAUACCCUGGUAGUCCACGCCGUAAACGAUGAGUACUAAGUGUCGGGUAAAACUGGUACUGAAGUUAACACAUUAAGUACUCCGCCUGAGUAGUACGUACGCAAGUAUGAAACUUAAAGGAAUUGACGGGACUCCGCACAAGCGGUGGAUCAUGUUGUUUAAUUCGAAGAUACACGAAAAACCUUACCAGGUCUUGACAUUUUCUUGCGAAGUUAUAGAAAUAUAAUGGAGG
rnacentral:rRNA from 1 species